rnacentral:rRNA from 1 species
UAGGGAAUCUUCCGCAAUGGACGAAAGUCUGACGGAGCAACGCCGCGUGAGUGAAGAAGGUUUUCGGAUCGUAAAGCUCUGUUGUUAAGGAAGAACGAGUGUGAGAAUGGAAAGUUCAUGCUGUGACGGUACUUAACCAGAAAGGGACGGCUAACUACGUGCCAGCAGCCGCGGUAAUACGUAGGUCCCGAGCGUUGUCCGGAUUUAUUGGGCGUAAAGCGAGCGCAGGCGGUUAGAAAAGUCUGAAGUGAAAGGCAGUGGCUCAACCAUUCUAGGCUUUGGAAACUGUUUAACUUGAGUGCAGAAGGGGAGAGUGGAAUUCCAUGUGUAGCGGUGAAAUGCGUAGAUAUAUGGAGGAACACCGGUGGCGAAAGCGGCUCUCUGGUCUGUAACUGACGCUGAGGCUCGAAAGCGUGGGGAGCGAACAGG